rnacentral:misc_RNA from 1 species
GGUAGUAAAAGUCGUAACAAGGUUUCCGUAGGUGAACCUGGGGAAGGAUCAUUAUUGUAUAACCGAGGAGCGAGGGCUGUCGCUGACCCGAAAGGUCGUGCACGCCCGAGUGCCCUCACACACAUCCAUCUCACCCCUAUGUGCACCACCGCGUGGGUCCCCCUUUGGCUUGUUCGGAGGGGGGCUUACGUUUUCACACAAACUUUGUAUGCAGUGUAGAAUGUAUUUUUUGUUUUUGCGAUCACGCAAUCAAUACAACUUUCAACAACGGAUCUCUUGGCUCUC